rnacentral:lncRNA from 1 species
AAAACACCUAACUUAUGUGACACUGGCUUAAUACUUGAUUCAUUGGCAGUGAGUGGCAAGAAAAAACAUUACUGUUUACUGUAAAACAAGAUAGGGAGUGGCAAAACAUUCGAUAGCAGUCACCUGUGGUUAUGUGGGAGGUAAAUCACAUAUUUGAAAGUUUUGUAACUCUAGAAAAAAAAUAUAAUUGAAUAUAUUAAUGGUUCAUUUGACAAUUAAAAAAAUUGACUUUAGAAAAUAAUUGCCUACUGUCUAGCUAAAUAGCAAACAGAGGGAGAUGCUCUAAAAGAAAAUGAUAUUUAUUUGGGAGUAAUAUUGCAAUGAGAAUACAUGUGCCAUAGUAAAUUAUGUGUGUAUUCAGGGACAUUAGAAAAGACAAGGAUUUCUAAAAGAGGAAGAUUACAUAAUUGUUUUGAGAUAAUUAACCUUGGAUCCAAGGAUCAGGAACAAGGGUGACACCUGUCUAAGGUUAGACAAGGAGGUUCUGAGCAGAUGUCCUUGCAGAAGUAUCUUUUUGUGUAGGGUUGCAGUGGCCUUUGUGCAAUGUUGUUGUUUUGUAGAGUCUUUUCUGGUAGCUCUUGUUAUAAGUCGUAUUUACAUUAAGAACUCUCCCCUCAUGGCCUUCUCCAGCUCCAUUUGUCAGAGUUUUAACACAAGUGACUUCAUUUUGAUUCUGACAAUUUUAUACUACUUUGCAAGCAGGAAAAAAAUAUAUCAGAAAGAAGAGUCUAGAAACUUGAGAUUUUGCAGAGCUGGAAGAGGCAACUGCUUCUC